UAAAAUGUUGGGCACUCUAAUAGGGUAGGAUCUGAAGCCUCUUGCAAGUUUCUAAAGACUCUCCCACUCAACUCCUUUUUCAACACGUCCUCUUCGUGCAGAGUGGAGCUUGGACAGCUUGGACAUCACCCCAAGUUCCAAGUUUAGGUAUACGGGUUUGACACAUCCCCUUGGGUGGAUAGUAAUGAGGAGUGAAAGCGAUAGCG
rnacentral:ribozyme from 1 species